rnacentral:tRNA from 1 species
UCCCUGGUGGCUCAGAUGGUAAAGAAUCUGCCUGUAAUGCAGGAGACCUGGGUUCAAUCCCUGGUUUGGGAA